UAAAAAUGUAAAAGAUCAGCUGGGUGUGGUGGCUCACACCUGUAAUCCCAGCACUUUGGGAGGCUGAGGUGGGUGGAUCACGAGAUCAGGAAUUCAAGACCAGCGUGGCCAACAUGGUGAAACCCUGUCUCUACUAAAAAUACCAAAAUUAGCUGAGCAUGAUGGUGCACACUGUAAUCCCAGCUACUCAGCAGGCUGUGGCAGGAGAAUCACUUGAACCCAGGAGGUAGAGGUUGCAGUGAGCCAAGAUCGCGCCAGUGCACUCCAUCCUGGGCGACAGAACAAGACUCCAACUCGAAAAAAAAAUCAAUACAAAUGUAAAAGAUCAUUCUUAGCUUGGAGGCUAUAAAAAAGGAUGCAGCAUGUCAGAUUUGGCCCAUUAGCAGCAGUUUCCUGACCUCUGUCUACCUCAAUUGUUUCUUUACUUACAUUACAUGGCAAGUGCAAACUUGGAUGGCUUCAAUGCCUGGCUUCUUUUAUUUAUUUAUUUAUUUAUUUUUUGAGACGGGGUCUCACUGUGGCCCGGGCUGGAGUGCAGUGGCACGAUCUCUGCUCACUGCAAGCUCCACCUCCUGGGUUCACACCAUUCUCCUGCCUCAGCCUCCCGAAUAGCUGGAACUACAGGUGCAUGCCACCACGCUUGGCUAAUUUUUAGGAGAGACGGGGUUUCACUGUGUUAGUUAGCCAGGAUGGUCUCGAUCUCCUGACCUCAUGAUCUGCCCAUCUUGGCCUCCCAAAGUGCUGGGAUUACAGGUGUGAGCCACCGUGCCCGGCUGGCUGGCUUCUUUUUACCCUUCACAUCUGGCUUUAAAUACUACCUUUUCACAGAUUUCUUCUCUAAUCACUCUUUCUAAAGUAAAUAUGCCGUUUUUCAUUAUUGGUCAUUGCAUCCUAUUUCUUUCCCUUUAAUUUUCUUAUCACAAUGUAUAAUUAUAUAUAUAUUUUUUUUUUGGUUAUUGCCUGUCUCCCUCAAUAGAUCAUAAGUUCCAUUUGAUAAGGUACAACGUCUGUUGGUUUAUUAGCCAGUGCCUAACACUACCAUUUAAUAUGUAUUCAAUGAAUCUUUGUUAAAUGUAUUGAUUGAAUUUAAAGUGACUACUCAGCCUACUUCUGCCCCUUGGAGCUUGGAUUGUUUCUUCAAAGGUAUUGAUCCUUUUGACUAUUUUAAUUAUGAAUUCACUAAAGACAUCUGGAAGGCUUAUUGUGUCAAGCAGUGCCAAAUCCAUGGCUUGAUGAACCUAGAUCCAUCCCCUUCCCCUUUCCAUAUCACAGAUGACAACUUGAUGGUUGGCCUAUGACUUGUAAAAGUUGUCAUAUUUGAAUUCCGAAAUUUCUCUAAUUUUCUUGGGAAGCAGAAAGGAAAAAUUAGUAGUUGGCCUCAAAGGGACAGUUGAAUUUCACAUAUAAUGAACAAAGUAGUGUGAGGAAGAGAGGAGGGCCUUUUCUUUUGAGGUCAUAACUAAAAGUUAGGUGAGCAAAUGCCAUAAGCAUGAAAAUAGCAAACCAAGCUUCUUGGUUUCUAUCCAAAGGCUUUGUUGGGAAAAGUAUCAAAGUGUGUUCAUUUGUUAUGUAAGAUAUAAGGUAGAGAACCCAAUUUGAAGGAGGUGGAAUAACUUUCCAAAAUACUUAUGGCUAAAUUCUCAGUUGAUCUUGGAAUAAGAUUCAAGAAUCCAAAUGCACCCUUCUUUGUUAUCUUGCUAGAAAACAGGCUGGGCAUGGUGGCUCAUGCCUGUAAUCCCAACACGUUGAGAGGCCGAGGUGGGCAGAUCACGAGAUCAGGAGUUGGAGACCAGCCUGAUCAACAUGGUGAAGCCCCGUCUCUACUAAAAAUACAAAAAUUAGCCAGACAUAGUGGCACGCACCUAUAAUCCCAGCUACUCAGGAGGUAGGCAGGAGAAUUGCUGGAACCCGGGAGGUGGAGUUUGCAGUGAGCCAAGAUCACGCCACUGCAAUCCAGCCUGGGUGACAGAGCGAGACUCUGUCUCAAAAAAAAAGAAAAGAAAAAAGAAAAGAAAGAAAAAAGGGAAGGGAAGGGAAGGAAAGGGGGAAGGGGAGGGAAGGGAAGGAAAGGGAAGGGAAGGGAAGGGAAGGGAAGGGAAGGGAAGGGAAGGGAAGGGAAGGGAAGGGAAAAGGGAAAACAAUGUGCUUUUACCCACAGCUGAUAAGCUUUUCUAAUUGUCUACCUUUGGGUUAAACUUUAUCAUUGAGUGUUUUUAUCCCAUUAUGAAAGAAUUAAGGUUUGAAGGACUGAGGUAAGGGUGGAUAUUUACUCUUAAUUGAGUAGCUUAACCAAGUCAAGCCACAGAUUAGCUGAAGCCAAAAAGCACUGGCAGCAUUUGAAAUAACUGAGAACAUAUUAUACUUAACACUUUAUUAUCUAAGAGAGGCACUUGAAGUUGAGACCUAGAAAUUUGAUUCUGGGUUCUUUGUUUCUAAGGGGCAGGGUGAACCCAGCUAUAGCAUUCACAGAUGCUAUAGAAUUAUAUAUAUUCUAUAUAUAAUUAUAUAUAUUACAUUCAUAUUAAUAUAUGUUAAUAUAUUCUAUAUUAUUCAUAUAGAAUUCACAGAUAAUCCAAGUGCUUUUUUAAUUCAUUGAUACCAAAUCUCUCCUGCUCUCAAAAAAAAAGCCCAAGGCAAAAAUUUUUGAUUAGCCUGUAUCUGCAAAUUCAUAGUGCAUGGCAUGAUGGGUACUCUACAUUCCUCCUCCUAUUGCACUCACUGUGCCCAGAUGAACCUAAAGUCACCAGUAAUAGUGCUAAUGUAGUAAUGGGCCCAAGCUUCAAAAGAAGGAAAAUUAGUAUUCAGUAUUUAAAUGUGGGAAAGAGGAAGAAUAUGGAAAUUAUCAAUUUUAUAAUACCUAUACACAUUCUUACCUGCAUUAAUGUGAAUAGACAUCAAUGAUAAACAGAAUAAUGCCCCAUAAAGAUGUCUACACUGUAAUCUCCAAAACUUAUAACUAUACUAUAUCACAUGGCAAGAGGGAAUUAAGGUUACUAAUCAGCUGACCUUGAGAUGGGAGAUUCUCCUGGAUUGUAUGGGUGGGCCCAAUGUAAUCACAGGGUCCUUAUAAAUGGAAAAGGCAGACAGGAGAUUCAGUGUCAGACUGAUACAAUGAGGGAAAGACUACCAGCAGUUGAUGGCUUUGAAGAUAGAAGAAGUGGGCCAUGAGCCAAGAAAUGUGAGUAGCCUCUAGAAGCUGAAAAAGGCAAGAAAACGGAUUCUUCCCUAGAAUCUCCAGAAAUGCAGCCCUGCCAACAUUGUGAUUUUAACUCAAUGAGAUGCAUUUUAGACUUCUGACAUCUAGAAUUGUGUUAUUUUCAGCCCUCAAGUUUGUGGUAAUUUGUUACAGCAGCAUUAAGAAAAUGUACAAUGACCAUGGGCAGUGCCUCAUGCUUGUAAUCCCAGCACUUUGGGAGGCCAAGGUGGGUGGAUCGCUUGAGUCCAAGAGUUCGAGACCAGCCUGGGAAACAUGGUGAAACCUUGUCUCUACAAAAACACAAAAAUUAGCCUGGUGUGGUUGUGUGGACCUGUAGUCCCAGCUACUCUGGAGGCUGUGGUGGGAGGAUGGCUUAAACCCAUAAGGUGGAGAUUACAAUGAGCCAAGAUCAUGCCACUGCACUCCAGCCUGGACAGUAGAGCCAGAACUUCUCUCAAAAAAAAAAAAAAAAGGAAAGAAACUAUACAAUGCUCCUGUGAUUCUAGUGCUAUGUACAUAUAUCCUUUAUAGGGAAUUAAGGAGGUUAUAGACACAACCAGAAGAGGAGGCAUGGAAUAGACUGAUGUAUAAUGGAUAGGAAAGUGUAUCUUUUACAACUUCUCUGUAAAAACACCUUCACCUACUUUAUGAGUUUGCCUCAGCUGCCAUAACAAAAUAUCAGACCAAGUGGCUUAAAUAACAAUUUAUUUUCUCACAGUUCUGGAGGCUAGAAGUCUAAGAUGAAAGUGCCAGCAAGUUUGAUUUCUGGUGAAGUCUCUCUUCCUUGCUUGCCAAUGGCCGCUUUCUCACUGUGUCUUCAAAUGUCCUUCCUCCGAGUAUGUGAGGAGAGAGAGGCUUGAUGCCUCUUCACCUUCUUGUAAGGACACCAGUCCUACUGGAUUAGGGCUCCACCCUUAUGACCUCAUUUAACCUUAAUUACCUCCUUAAAGGUUCUAUCUCCAAAUACAGUCACAUUUGGAGUCAGACCUACAACAUAUGAAUUUUGAGAGGACACAAUUCAGUCUAUAACACCUAGAUGGAAGGCAAUUUCAUAUAAAGAUGAUAUGCAGUCUAUGACAGCAAAGUAGCUAGUGGAAAUCACAACCCCUAAUUCUAUUUUUAUGUCAUUCCCUAAGUCCAGGUCCCAUGUGGAUAUAGCAUUGUUCAGGGCUAUCUCUUUGCUGUUCUUUUUUUUUUUUAGACUCACACAAGCAAUGUGGAGAAGGAACAUGAAAACAUCUUUGAGAUAGAGCUUAAUACAGAUGUCAAUCUCUUUGUAAAUAAGCAAUUAAAAGUGGAACCACUGUCCAACAUGUGAGAAGAGUGACUGGCUAUGGCUGGAUAUUUUUAAAUACACAUAAAAUGUGGUAUAAAUGGUAGAAUGCCAGGGAUAGAAGGAGUAUCUUAUAAGUUACCUAGUCAAGGUUCUGGCUUCUGGGCGGAAAACUAUCUAAACUCAGCCAGAUAAUCAGUUUCAACUAAAUCAGGAAAACAUGGAAUCAUCUUUAUCUAGGUAGUGUUAUAGUUGCAUUGCCUCAUUUAUCUACACAUCAGGAAAUUCUUUCUCAUUGCUAAUAUUUAUCAUUCUUAUCAUAGUAUAAGCAAACGUUUUAAUUCUAUUAUGGUAAAGAUAAAGCUUCUGUAAUUAAAACACUUUAAUCUGGGAAGACAGCAGUAAACCCUUCAAGCAAAAGCCCAAGUAGUUUCAAAAAUAAUAGCCAGAGAGGUUAAAGGUAAACCAAUAGAGUGAUAUGUUACAGCAACUAAGGGAGAGAGGCAGGAGUUUUUUAAAAGAGAGAAGAGGAAUUAUAACAACAGAAACAGGUUAGCCAGCUGCCAGUUUAGAUGAGCAUAAUGAGUCCCUUAGAUAGAUCAUUGGUGAUUUUUAUCAAAACACUAUCGGUGGAGUUGUGGGAGUGGUAGGCUGACUAUAGUGGAUUGGGGAAUUAAAUAGUGAUGAACCCAAAACAGAAAGUCUGAAGAAAUUCCCUUUGAGCCAAAAAAAAAAAAGGCUGGGCGCAGUGGCUCACACCCAUAAUCCCAGCACUUUGGGAGGCCGAGGUGGGAGGAUCACCUGAGGUCAGGAGUUCAAGACAAGCCUGGCCAACAUGGUGACUCUACUAAACAUUGUCUCUACUAAAAGAUACAAAAAUUAGCCGGGAGUGGUGGCAGGCAACUUAAUCCCAGCUACUUGGGAGGCAGAGGCAGGAGAAUUGUUUGAACCCGGGAGGUGGAGGUUGCACUGAGCUGAGAUCGAGCCAUUGCACUCAAACCUGGGGGACAAGAGGGAGACUUCUCUAAAAAAAAAAAAUUCCCUUUGAGCAUCUCUACUGUAGAGAUGAAAUAAGAGAGAAGUGGAUUCUUUAGUAUAGAGAUGGAAAGGUAUGGAGCUAGAACAUGUAGGUUGUGAACAGUGGCUAACUAAACCAGGACCAGUAACCUAGAUAUCACAUUGGGCUUAAUUGCUUGGUUAUUCAUUCAUUCAGGCAACAUGUAUUUGUUGAGAGCCUGAAUGUGCCAGGUAAUAGAGACACAAAGGUGGUUAAAAUAGACCUUGGCCUCUGUCUUCAGGAAGCUUCCAGUCUGAAGAGGGAUGAAGACACAUAUUAAUCAAACAAUCCCACAAAUGCAGGUAUAAUCUGCAUAAACUGACAAAUAUAUCUACUUUGGAGUCAAGAAAUUAAGAGAAAUCACUGAUGUGAUCAGGGAACAAGUAAGAUUUAUUAGGAAGAUGGAAGGAUGACAUUACUUCAAAUAUAUUACAGGAAACCCCAACCAUGGUAACAACAUCAGGCCUAUCUUUACAUAUGUUUAAUAAUGCUUAACUUCACUUUUGCUCCUAUCCUCCCCAAAGCAAUCUUCAAGUUCUUCUGUAUCUUUGUUUUAUUUUCUUUGUUCUUUUUUGUCUCAUUUCCUAUACUGUUUUUAUUCCAUACUUUGACAGUUCAGUGAACUCCUUUGAUAGAUCCCAAGUCCUCCUUUUUCAAUAUUUACCCUUAUAAUCAUUUUUGAUCACUCCAAAACUGAGAACUUUGAGUGUAGAUUUUCUAGGCUUCUUAUUUUAUUUUUAGACAUUAUAUAGAAAAAUUAGAGGGAAGGGAAAAGAAGGAUGGCAACAUGGUAACUGGGACAGUGUUCAAAAGGUCUAAGUCCUACUUCUCACUCCAUACAAAUUAUCUGCAAUUUUUUUAUUUUUGAGACAGGCUCUUAACUCUCACCUGGGCUAGAGUGCAGUGGCACAAUCAUAGCUCACUAUAACCUUGAACUCCAGGGCUCAAGGGAUCCUUCCAUUUCGGCCUCCUGAGUAGUUAGGACUACAGGUGUGUGCCACUACACACAGCUAGUUUUUAAUUUUUUUUUAUUUUCAUAGACACAGGGUCUCACUAUGUUGCUCAAACUGGUCUUGAACUCCUGGCCCCAAGCAAUCCUCCUGCCUUGGCCUCCCAAAGUUCUAGAAUUGUUACAGGAAAGAGGUCCCAAUCCAGGCCCAAAGAGAUUUUAUUUAUGUACUAGUGUGGAGCCUAGCCUAGGACACAUCAAGCAGAAGUGCAGAUAAGGUCUGACUCUUUCCAGUACAGCUAGGGUGCCUGGCUCUCCACAUGUCCCCAGGCCUUAUCUAGAAUCUAAUGUCUCCAAGGUAGGUACAUUGAACAUUUUCAAAAGUCAAGGAAGCAGUUUAUGACCUUAAAGUAGUUAGCAAACUUAAUAUCUGAUCUGCCUAAUUUAGACCAAAUGUUUACAUUUUUGAAGAUAUUUUUAUUUUAUCAGUAAUCUUUAAAACUAUUUUUUAUUUUCCAAAGAUUACUUAAGUCAAAUGAACUAAAAGGCAUUAUACAUUUUACUUUUCUGAUGAAAUAUCUGAUUUAAGCACUUAUUAUUUUUGAACCAAUUAAAGCUUUUUUAUAUCACACACACAACACAUAUAAAUACACAGACAGGCUGGGUGCAGUGGCUCACACUUGUAAUCCCAGCACUUUGGGUGGCCAAGGCAGGCGGAUCACGUGAGGUCAGGAGUUUGAGAGCAGCCUGGUCAAUGUGGUAAAACCCCAUCUCUACUAAAAAUACAAAAAUUAGCUGGGCAUGGUGGAGGAUGCCUAUAAUCCCAGCUACUCAGGAGGCUGAGGCGGGAGGAUAGCUUGAACCCAGGAGGUAGAGGUUGCAGUGAGCCAAGAUUGUGCCACUGCACUCCAGGCUGGGUGACAGAGGGAGACCCUGUCUCAAAAAAUUAAUAAAUAAAUACACAGAAGAAGAUAAAGGACUUAUCCCCUAAGGCAGGAAUCAAACCCUGAACACAGGCCACCGUUGUGAAAAGAAAAAGCACAGCCACAUGGUUACAAGGUCAAGCUCCCAAGGACAUACAAAACAAGAAGGAAACCUCAUCCAGUUUUUUCAGGGACCUGCAGCAAAGUUUGUACCUGAUAAAUUUACUGGGCCAUCUUGAACAGCAGGUUUACAGGUGUCCUAAGCUCAUGUUCUAUCCUAAGAUACCCCUCUUUAUGACAGAACAAUACAGAAAGACACACAACAGAUUUGCUACAACUUAAGACUAGCCUCAUAAAUCCAUUUUUUCACUAAUCAAAACUUUACAGAGGAAAUGAACAGUGAUUUUUGCCAUCCAUUCAACCAGUUUUAUAGAGAGAGAGAGAGGAAAGCAUUGCCUGAGGCAGGGUGGGGAAGGCCCGGCACUCCGAGUGCCAGAGAAAGCCCCACCCAUUGCAGCAACACUGAAAAGUUCAUGCAGCUGCUUGUCAGUCAUGAACGGAUUUUUUCCAGCAGUCCCAUCAGCUCUCGUUUCCCUUUUUAGGAGGGAAAAGCUCCCCAUGUUCUACAAUCCUGUACAUGCCUAAUUCUGUCAACCAUAGCCAUCAGCAAAGAGUGCAAGGCAGAUCAAUCCAAAGAGAAUAGCGGUUAACAUCCUAUAAUGCCAAACCUGUUCUUAGCCGAAAGGGACUUUAAGGAGAGGGACUUUACUGAGAGGGGCCUCUAACCCCCUAAAUCUUAAAAGGGACUCUAAUCCUCCUAAGUUGGGCCUCUAACCCAGUGUCAGUCAAGCAUCCUUGCCUUUUAUUGAGAGGAAGCUUUAACCCUCUCUUACGAGAGACUCUAACUCCCCUAAGUUGAGCUAUAACCAAUCCCAUCCUUUGCCUGAGUACCCCACCACUUACCCAAAGUUGUCCAAUUAGUAAUGCUGCAGUCUAUUUCCUUUGUGCUGGGGGGUCUCCUCAGUAUCAUCCCUUCGAGUUUCACCAGAAAGAUGUUAUCAGGCCCCACCACUUACCCAAAGUUAGCCUUUGGAUCGGGGGUUUCUGCAUUAUAGUCACUUCAGUGGUUGCCAAAAAGAUGUUAUAGGACCCCCAACACUUACCCAAAAUUAACCUUUGGGUCAGGUAUUUCUGCACUAUAGUCCCUUCUGUGAUAAUCAGAAAGAUGUUAUAGGAAAAGGAUCCUGAUCCAGGCCCCCAGGAGAGGGUUCUUGGAUCUUGUGCAAGAAAGAAUUCAGGGCGAGUCCGCAGUGCAAAGCAAAACCAAGUUUAUUAGGAAAGUAAAGGAGUAACAGAAUGGCUACUCCAUAGACAGAGUAACCCCAAAGGCUGCUGGUUGCCCAUUUUUGUGUUUUUUUCUUGAUGAUAUACUAAACAAGGGGUGGAUUGUUCAUGCCUUCCCAUUUUAGACCAUAUAGGGUAACUUCCUGACAUUGCCAUGGCAUUUGUAAACUGUCAUGGUGCUGAUGGGAAUGUAGCAGUGAGGAUGGCCACACUAAUGUGUUUUAAGCCUUUUCCUCAGCCAAACUACAUAAAAGCAAAAAUUACUUUGUUUCAAUAUUACUCCUACUGGCUAACACACUAGCAGGUCAUCAGAAUAUUUGCCAUUCCUACAAAAUUCCAAGAUUCUGUGAUGAUCCUUUGAGUAUAAGAAUCACAGAGAUACACACAAUUGUUACAUGCUCUAUUUAAGUUUUCUAUGUUAUAUUUUCUCUUUAUACCCCCCACCCCAUUUCCUGACUCUUUCUUUUUAAAGGGUCUUUGGGAUCAUGAAAGCAAAAUGCAGCAUCCUCAGUGUCACACGCAUCCAUGUGAAGAGACCACCAAACAGGCUUUGUGUGAGCAAUAAAGCUUUUUAAUAACCUGGGUGCGGGCAGGCUGAGUCUGAAAAGAGAGUCAGCAAAGGGAGAUAGGGGUGGGGCAGUUUUAUAGGAUUUGGGUAGGUAGUGGAAAAUUACUGUCAAAGGGGGUUGUUCUCUGGCGGGCAGGGGUGGAGGACACAAGGUGCUCAGUGGGGGAGCUUCUGAGCCAGGAGAAUGAAUUUCACAAAUGUCAUCAGCUAAGGCAGGAACCAGCCAUUUUCACUUAUUUUGUGAUUCUUCAGUUGCUUCAGGCCAUCUGGAUGUAUACAUGCAGGCUUGGGCUCAGAGGCCUGACAUUCCUGUCUUUUUAUAUUAAUAAGAAAAAUAAAACAAAAUAGUGUUGGGGCGGUGAAAAAUUUUUUGGGGGGUGGUAUGGAGAGUUACUGGGUGAUGUUUCUUAGGGUUGCUUUGAGUGGGAUUAGGGGUGGCAUGGGAACCUAGAGUGGGAGAGAUAAAGCUGAAGGAAGAUUUUGUGGUAAGGGGUGAUAUUGUGGAUUUGAUAGAAGGAAUAUUUGUCACAUAGAAUGAUUGGUGAUGGCCUGGAUACAGUUUUGUAUGAAUUGAGAAACUAAACAGAAGACACAAAGUCCCAAUAACAGAAGGAGAAAAACAGGUAUUAAAGCACUAAGAAUUGGGAGGACUCAGGACAUCCAAUCAGAGUGCCUAAGGGGGUUCAGCGUGAUUAUUUUCUUGGUUGAUGAGUUUUUGGGCUCUAUCCUUGAGUUUUUUUAUGUUGUCAUAUACCAAGCCAGAUUGAUUUAGGUAAAAACAACACUCUUCAUUUAAAAAUAUACACAGUCCCCUUUUUUUGAGCAGUAAGUCGAGGCCUCAGCGAUUUUGGAGGAAAGAGAAAUGCAAAGCCAGCAAUCAUUUUUUAAAGAAGGAUUAGAAACAGCUAGGAGAGAGUGAAUGAGAUUGAUAGUGUGGUGGAGAUAGCUGGGGAGAGGUAGAGGGUCGCAUAAGAACAGGAAUGAGAAUAAGAGUGAAUAUAAAGGUAAAGAAUAGGACUUUAUUAGGGUGAAAGUAUUGGAGUGUACCUUGUCACUGAAGAUCUUCUAUCCACUUCAAGAGAGACUUAAGGAAGGUGGUUUGAGGUAAAACCAGGAGAUAUGAGUUAUGAUGGUUUGGAGGAAAAGUGUAAACUGGCAGUGUAAACAAGGGCAGGGCAUUUACGAGUAGUUGAGAAUGGUGAAUAGGAGUAUGACUAGACAGAAGAUAGUAGGGGUGACAAGUUUUGGGGGUGCAGUCCAAGUAGUGGGGGUGACUGCAUAAAGCCUUGUUGCAAAAAGUAGGGUAAUAAUAGAAUGAAAGGAUGUUUUAGGCUCAUAAGGGUUACUACUGUUCUUCAGAAAUGUGAGUGAGUUUAAGGGAAGUAGGGUUGAGUACUUGCAACUUCUAGGAGGAAGAGGAGAGAUUAGGCUGGCUGUCCAAUGGACACAGCUUUAUUCUGGAAUGGUGAGCCUAAUAGGGAGGGUCUUACAGGCGGAUGGCAGUUGGGGUAUUAUAGAUGACUAAGUAGGGUCCGGUCUAUCAAGGUUAUAGAGUUUGAGGGGUCAGAUUCUUAACAAGAACUGAUCGUCCAUCUAGGGUGUCUUUAUAUGGCUGGGAAUAUGGAGUAGGCAAGAGAAGAUUAGCAGAUUGGCAAAUUUCCUGUCUUGCCUGCUGGAGGACCAGCAGAUAGAUUCCUAGAGGGCUGGUGUCUGAGACGAGGUUGGGGCCAAGCAAGAAAGUGUGUCUAUAUAAAAGUUUAAAUGGACUGUACCCUCUAGCAUCUCAAGGACAGGCUCUAAUUCUGAGAAAGGCAAGAGGUAAAAGUACUGUCCAAUCUUUUUUAAGUUGGAGGCUGAGCUUGGUGAGAUGUGUCUUUAAAAGACCAUUAGUCCAUUCUACCUCUCCUGAAGAUUGAGAACGGUAAGGGGUAUGAAGGUUCCACUGAAUACCAAGAGCCUGAGAAACUGCUUGGGUGAUUUGACUAAUAAAGGCCGGUCCAUUAUCAGACUGUAUAGAGGUGGGAAGGCCAAGCCUAGGAAUUAUGUCUGAAAGAAGGGAAGAAAUGACUAUGGUGGCCUUCUCAGACCCUGUGGGAAAGGCCUCUACCCAUCCAAUGAAAGUGUCUACCCAGACCAAGAGGUAUUUUAGUUUCCUGACUCGGGGCAUGUGAGUAAAGUCAAUUUGCCAGUCCUGGGCAGGGCAAAUUCUCGAGCUUGAUGUGUAGGGAAGGGAGGGGGCCUGAGGAAUUCCUGAGUAGUAGUAGUAUAGCAGAUGGGACACUGAGAAGUGAUUUUUUUAGGAUAGAUUUUUACAAAGGAAAGGAAAUGAGAGGUUUUAAGAGGCAGGAUAGCAGCUUUCAACUUACAUGGAAGGGGUUACAAAAUGACAACAGAAUAGAAUAGGCCUGUGUGGCUGGAAGGAGAUAUUUUCCUUGUUCCAAGAACCAUUUGCCUUGUGUGGAAAGAGAUUGAUAGGUGGAAGUUUCAGUGGGAGAGUAGGUGGGAGUGACAGAUGAGAAGGAGAAAAACUGGCCAUGAGGGACAGAAGUUGGGACGCUAGCUGAUUCUUUAGCUACCUUAUCAGCAUAAGCACUGCCCUGAGUGAUGGGAUCUGAUGCCUUUUGAUGGCCCUUGGAGUGAAUGACUCCAGCUUCCUUUGGAAGUAAAGUGGCCUCGAGAAGAGUUUUUAUUAAAGAGGCAUUAAUGAUGGAGGACACUUGCAUAGUGAGGAAACUUCUUUUAGCCUACAUAACAGCAUGGUGGUGCAGGAUAUGGAAGGCAUAUUUAGAGUCAGUAUAAAUAUUGAUGUGUAGUCCCUUUGCAAGAGUGAGAGCCUGAGUUAAGGCAAUGAGUUUGGCUUGCUGACAGGUAGUGGAGGUGGACAGAGUGGUAACAUCAAGGAUAGAUGUGGAAGAUACUAUAGCAUAGCCUGCCUUUGCUAAUGAGUGACAAUUAGGCCUGAUGGAACUGCCAUCAAUAAACCAAGUGUGAUCAGGGUGAGGAACAGGAAAGAAGGAAAUAUGGGUAAAUGGAGUGAAUGUCAGGUAGAUCAGAAAGAUACAGUCAUGGGGGUCAGGUGUGGUAUCAGGAAUAAUGUGGGAGCCAGCCUAAAACAGUAAGAUCAAGUUGCUUGGACAGAAAGGCUACAGGUCAUGGUCCUGGCUCUUGUGUAAGAAUUCUGACCGCACAGCCCUGCACUUCAGCUGUGUGUAAUGAAAAAGGGUUCGGAUGAGUUAGGGAGAGCUAGUGUGGGAGCAGCUUCCAGGGCUGUUUUAAGAAAUGGAAAAAGGAGUGGGGAAAGGAUUUAGGAUCUAUGGGGUCAGCUAGGUUUUCUUUUGUGAGUUUAUAUAAUGGUUUAGUCAGGACAGUAAAACUAGGUAUUUAAAGGCAAAAGUACUGAACCAUGCUCAGGAAAGAAAGGAGUUGUUGCUUUGUCAAGGGGGUUGGGGUUUGGGAGAUUAGCCAGACACGAUCAGCAGGGAGAGCAUGUGUGUUUUUAUGAAGAAUUAUGUCAAGAUAUAUAAUGGAUGAGGAAGAAAUUUGGGCUUUGGAGGCAGAUGUGCAAUGUCCUUUUGAGAAUAGAUUGUUGGAGCAGCAGGAGGGUGUCCUGUUGGGAAGAUUUGUAGGAGGGGCUAUAAAGUAGAAGGUCAUCAAAAUAUUUAAUAAGGUGAGAUGCAGAUGGAUGGAAAGAGAGUAAAUCAUGAGAAAGGGCCUGACUGAAGUAAUAGGAGCUGUCCCUGAAGCCUUGCAGCAGUACAGCCCAGGUAAGUUGCUGAGAUUGAUGGGUGUCAGGGUCAGUCCAGGUAAAAGUAAAGAGGGCCUUGGAGGAAGGGUGCAAAGGAAUAGUAAAGAAAGUAUAUUUGAGAUCCAGAACAUAAUAAUGGGUUGUGGAGGGGUUGUGAAGGGAGGUAUUAAGAAUAAGAGAGUAUAUGGGUUUGGCACCAUGGGGUGGAUAGGCAAACAAUUUGGUUGAUAAGGUGCAGAUCCUGAACUAACCUGUAAGACUUGUCCGGUUUUUGGACAGGUAAAAUGGGAGAAUUGUAAGGAGAGUUUAUAGGCUUUAGAAGCUCAUGCUGUAGCAGGCGAGUGAUAACAGGCUUUAACCUUUUUAAAGCAUGCUGUGGGAUGGGAUAUUGGCAUUGAGCGGGGUAAGGGUGAUUGUGUUUUAAUGGGAUGCUAAGGGGUGCGUGAUCGGUCCCCAAGGAGGGAGUAGAGGUGUCCUAUACUUGUGGAUUAAGGUGGGGAGAUACAAGGGGAGGAUGCGAAGGAGGCUUUGAACUGGGGAAAAGGCGGCAAUGAGGUGUGGCUGUAGUCCAGGAAUAGCCAGGGAAGUAGAUAAUUUGGUUAAAAUGUCUUGGCCUAAUAAGAGAACUGGGCAGGUGGGAAUAACUGAAAAAGAGUGCAUAAAAGAAUGUUGUCCAAGUUGGCACCAGAGUGGGGGAGUUUUAAGGGGUUUUGAAGCUUGGCCGUCAAUACCCACAACCGUUAUGGGGGCAAGGGAAACAGGCCCUUAAAAGGAAGGUAAUGUGGAGUGGGUAGCCUCCAUAUUGAUUAAGAAGGGGACGGACUUACCUUCCACUGUAAGAGUUACCUAAAGUGUCUGUGAUGGUCCAGGAGGCUUCUGAGGUGAUCAGGCAGCGUCAGUCUCCAGCUGCUAAGCCAAGCAGAUCUGGGAAGGUGUCAGUCAGAGAGCCUUGGACCAGAGCUUUAGGGGCUAUAGGAGUAGCUGCCAGGUGAGUUGGACAAUCCUAUUUCCAGUGGGGUCCUGCAUAGAUGGGACAUGGCUUAUGAAGAAUCCCAGGCUGCAGGCAUUCCUUGGCCCAGUGGCCAGAUUCCAGCGUGUGAAGCAAGAUCCUGGGGAAGGUCUGGAAGGAAUGCCUGACUGCUGUGGCUUAGGUGCUAUGAAGUUCUUGUGUGCUGGAGAUGUGGCUGGGGUUUCUCUCACAGUGGAGGCAAGUAAUUGCAACUCUUCUCUAUUAUUGUACACCUUGUAGGUGAGGUUGAUUAAUUCCUGUUGUGGGGUUUGAGGGCUGGAGUCUAAUUUUUGGAGCUUUUUCUAAUGUCAGGAGCUGACUGGGUGAUAAAAUGCAUAUUGAGAAUGAGACGGCCUUCUGACCCUUCUGGGUCUAGCUAGGGUGGUAAAGUGUCUAACGGUUGUUGCCAAAUGGGCCAUGAACUGGGCUGGGUUUUUAUAUAUGAUGAAAAAGAGCCUAAACACUAACUGAUUUGGGAGAGGUCAGCUAAAGAAAAAGGAGCAUUAACCUUGAAUAUGCCUUCAGCUUCAGCCACCUCUGUAAGAGGAAACUGUUGGGUAGAUGGGGGAGGGCUAGCCACAGAACGCAACUGUAAGCUGGACCAGGUGUGAGGAGGGGAGGAGAUAGAAGGAUUAUAGGGUGGGAGAGCAGAGGCUGAGGAAAAAUUGGGACCUGGCUCAGCCUGGUGAGGAGCAGCCUGGGGAGGAGGGGAGAGGUCAGAUGGGUCUGUAGAAAAGGAGGAUUCAAAGGACUCAGAGCUUGGGGUGGAGACUGAAGGAAGAGACAGGAGAGAAAGAAGAAAGAUUUGGGACGAGUCACAUUGGGAGCAGAGAUUAGGAAAGGACUUGUUGCAGGAAGUCAGGGACCCCAAACGGAGGGACCGGCUGAAGCCAUGGCAGAAGAAUGUGGAUUGUGAAGAUUUUAUGGACAUUUAUUAGUUCCUCAAAUUAAUACUUUUGUAAUUUCUUAUGCCUGUCUUUAUUGCAAUCUCUAAACAUAAAUUGUAAAGAUUUCAUGGACACUUAUCACUUCCCCAAUCAAUACCCUUGUGAUUUCCUAUGCCUGUCUUUAAUUUAAUCUCAAUCUUGUCAGUUGAGGAGGAUGUAUAUUGUCUCAGGACCCUGUAAUAAUUGCAUUAACUACACAAAUUGUACAGCAUGUGUGUUUGAGCAAUAUGAAAUGUGGGCACCCUGAAAAAUGAACAGGAUAACAGCAAUUGUUCAGGGAAUAAGAGAGAUAACCUUAAACUCUGACCGCCGGUGAGCUGGGCAGAACAGAGCCAUAUUUCUCUUCUUUCAAAAGCAAAUGGGAGAAAUAUCGCUGAAUUCUUUUUCUCAGCAUGGGAUAUCCCUGAGAAAGAGAAUGCGCACCUAGGGGUAGGUCUCUGAACUGGCCCCCCUGGGGCGUACCUGUCUCUUAUGGUUGAGACUGCAGGGGUGAAAUAAACUCCAGUCUCCCAUAGCGCUCCCAGGCUUAUUAGAAAAAGGAAAUUCCCACCUAAUAAAUUUUGGUCAGACCGGUUGAUCUCAAAACCCUGUCUCCUGAUAAGAUAUUAUCAAUGACAGUGGUGCCCUAAACUUCGUUAGCAAUUUUAAUUUCACCUCGGUCCUGUGGUCCUGUGAUCUCACCCUGCCUCCACUUGCCUUGUGAUAUUCUAUUACCCUGUUAAGUACUUGAUGUCUGUCACCCACACCCAUUCGCACACUCCCUCCCCUUCUGAAAAUCCCUAAUAAAAACUUGCUGGUUUUUGUGGCUUGUGGGGCAUCACGGAUCCUACCGAUGUGUGAUGUCUCCCCCAGAUGCCCAGCUUUAAAAUUUAUCUCUUUUGUACUCUGUCCUUUUAUUUCUCAAGCCAGUCAAUGCUUAGGGAAAUAGAAAAGAACCUACGUGAUUAUCAGGGCAGGUCCCCCGAUAGGGACUGAUGUGCAAAAGAAUUCCUGGAUAUCAGGCACCUCAGACCAUUUGCCCAUUUUACAACAAGAAUUAUCUAGAUCUUGUAGGAUGGAGAAAUUGAAAGUGCUGUUUUCUGGCUAUUUGGAACCAUUGUCAAGUUUGUAUUGGGGUCAAGUGGUAUUGCAGAAGAAAAUAAGAUGUUUAGGUUUUAGGUCAGGUGUGAGUUGAAGAGGUUUUAAGUUAUUGAGAACAGUCUAAGGGUGAAGAUGGAGGAAUGGAGGGUGGAAGUUUGCCUAUAGUGAAGGAGGCAAGCCCUGAGAAAAGAGAGGGUAGAGACACGGAGAGAAGGGGUGGGGGGUACUUGCCUCCCGGGGAGGUGGUGCUUGCCACCAAGGUGAAGGAUCAAGGCAGGCAUCCCCAUGGUGAUCAGACACCUCUGAAAUGUGGGUGAAUAAUCAGGCAGGCAUCCCCACAGUGAUUAAACACUGAGGGAAGACUGUCUUCCCGAGACCAUGACCAUCGCCAGAGUUUUGGGUUCACACAUAAAACAUGUCUCCUCUGUCUCUACCAGAAAAGGAAAGGCACUGAAAUUAAGGGAAGGGAGAGAUUGAAGGGUAGCACAGAAAUUGAAAGGAGAAAGAGGUUGAGGGAUAGUGAAAGAAGUUGGAGAAGAGAGCAAAAAGAGGCCGCUUACCAGAUUUAAAAUUGGUGAGAUGUUCCUUGGGCUGGUUGGUCUGAGGACCAGAGGUCGUAGGUGGAUCUUUCUCACGGAGCAAAGAACAGGAGGACAGGGGAUUGAUCUCCCAAGGGAAGUCCCCUGAUCUGAGUUAUGGCACCAAAUGUCACGUGCAUCCGUGUGAAGAGACCACCAAACAGGCUUUGUGUGAGCAAUAAAGCUUUUUAAUCACCUGGGUGCAGGCGGGCUGAGUCUGAAAAGAAAGUCAGCAAAGGGAGAUAGGGGUGGGGCAGUUUUAUAGGAUUUGGGUAGGUAGUGGAAAAUUACAAUCAAAGGGAGUUGUUCUCUGGCAGGCAGGGGUGGUGGUCACAAGGUGCUCAGUGGGGGAGCUUCUGAGCCAGGAGAAGGAAUUUCACAAGGUAAUGUCAUCAGUUAAGGCAGGAAUCGGCCAUUUUCACUUCUUUUGUGAUUCUUCAGUUGCUUUAGGCCAUCUGGAUGUAUAUGUGCAGGCUUGGGCUCAGAGGCCUGACACUCAGCUGCUACUACCACCAUUGGCACCACUGGCACCACUGCCACCACCCCACUGCACCCCAGUUGCUUCACUCUCCAUCACAGAAGCCUUUUCAGCAACAGCCAACAUUUGUACCCUCACCAAGCCCUCUGAUUUUCCCAAUCACAAGGCCUUCACUACAAUAUUUUCUUCAUUCACAAGUGUCACCUAUUCUCCAUCCCCAAGGUAAGUCAAUUCUAAUUUUUUUGCAAGGGUUGACAGAGGUAAAACCUGUCCAGAUACCCCAAAGGUGUUUCAUCUUGGCAAUUCUUGACUCUUUCAAGGAAAUAAGAAUAGUCAAAUAUAACUAAGUAAAAUAAAUAAGAAUAUAUAAGGUCUGUAAACCAAAAAUGAAAUUCUAAGCCCCCCAACCAACUGAAUGGACCCCUCCUCUCAGCCAAGGGCAUUCUAAAGUUAACCUGAAAGACUAGUUCAGGCCAUGAUGGAAAUGGGUGGUCAGGCAUGCCUCAUUAUAUCCUCCUCCCUUUGGAAUUUAGACACAAAUGACCAACAUUAACAUUAAAACAGAGACCUUAAGAUUGACAAAGCAGACUCUUUGUAGCAAUAAGAUAUGAACACAACAGAUAGCAGGCCCCAAAAUAUAUUUAUUCAACAUAUUUUUAAAUGGCCCUGCAAAGCUGUCUCUUGUGGGAAACCUACAUUCUGUAGAGAAUGCCCUUCCCUUUCCAGAUCUUUUCGCUUAUCCAGGAGAGAAUUAACUAAGAGUCUGGUACCUUUUUAAGUCUGAUAAGAAACAUUUACAAUCUAUUCUCUCUGAAGCCUCCUACAUGGAGGCUUCAUCUGCAUAAGAGCCUUAGUCUCAGAGGCCCCUUAUGUUAAUGCAGAUACUCCCUUCUAUUGAUUUCAAGACUUUAAUCAGAAAACCUCUGAGUCUUCCUAUGACCUGGAAGCCCCCACUUAGAGUUGUCCCACAUUUUCAGACCCAACCAAUGUACAUCUUACAUGCAUUGAUUGAUGUCUUAUGUUUCCCUAAAAUGUAUAAAACCAAGCUGUAGCCUGACUACUUUGGGUACAUGUUCUCAGGUCUCUUGGAGCUGUGUCAUGAGCUAUUGGUCACUCAUAUUUACUUGGCUCAGAAUAAAUCUCUUCAAAUAUUUUAUAGAGUUUGACUCUCUGUUGACAAGUCCUAGUUUUAAAACAGUUUUUAUUUCAUUUAUUUAUUUUGAGAUGGGGUCUUCCCUCUGUCACCCAUGUUGGAGUGCAGUGGCACAAUCUCAGCUCACUGUAACCUCUGCCUCCCAGGCUCAGGUCAUCCUGCCACCUCAGUCUCCCAAGUAGUUAGAACCACAUACGUGUGCCACCAUGCCCAGCUAAUUUUUUGUAUUUUUGAUAGAGAUGGGGUUUCUCCAUUUUGCCCAGGCUGGUCUCAAACUCUCUAAGCUCAGGCAAUCCACCUGCCUCAGCCUCCCAAAAUGCUGGGACUACAGGCAUGACCCACAGCGCCCAACCAAAAUGACUUGUUUUUAGACAAGAGGUUAGAAAUUUUUUUUCCUCAAAGGGCCAGACAAUAAGUAGAUUAGGCCAGGGUUUCUCAACCUCAACAGUAUUCACAUUUUGGGCCAGAUAAUUCUUUGUUGUGGAGUGCUUUCCUUUUCACUGUAGGGUAUUUAACAGCAUCCCUGACUUCUACUCCCUAGGUGCCAAUAACAUCUUAUUCUCAGUUGUGACAAUAAAAACAUUUUCCAGACAUUUCUAGAUGUCCCAUAGGAGGUAAAAUUGCCCCGAGGUGAGAAUAACUGGUAUAGACUUUGCAUUCCAUAUGCUAUCUGUCACAACUACUCAGCAGUGCCAUUAUAGCACAAAAGCAGCCAUAGACAAUAUGAAAAUGAAUGGACAUGGUACUUUCCCAAUAAGUACUAUAGAAACUGAAAUUUAAAUUUCAUAUAAUUUUCACAUGUAAUAAAAUAUUCCUUUAAAAAUUUAAGCAUUUAGAGAUGGAAAACCCAUUGUUAGCUUGUGGGACAAACAAAAACAGGUGGUAAGCCAUAGCUUUCCAACUUCUAUUUGUUUUAUUUUUGAAAGUUUAAUAAUAUAUGUAAUUUAAACUACUGUAUCCAAAUAAUAUUAUUUUAACAUGUGGUAAUUAUAAAAAUCAAUUCAUAAAUUCAGUAUGUAUUUUACAUUUAUAAUACAUCUCAAUUUGGACUAACCACAUUUUAAGUACUCAAUAGUCAUAUAUGGCUAGUAGCUACCAUAUUGGGCCAUGAUGCCCUAGAGUAUUUGCUUUUAAUUAUUAGGCAUACUUCCUCUCAAGAGGCCCUAGUCAUUGGGAACAUGAGGUCACUUUCUCUUUGAAGGUAAAAGCCUCUAAGUCCUGUUAUUGAUCUAAACUCACAAAAAAAAAAAACAAAAAACUGGAAGUAAGGUUUAAAAGACCACCAUGACAAUAUUUAUCCAAUUUGUGACUGUAUUUCUGAUUGGCAAUUCAAAAUUUUGUUUGGCUUAGUAAUUUUUCUUGCUAUCUUGAAUAGAAUUAAUCCCAGAAGGUCUGGUAGACAAUGAGUGUUUUGGUGUAACUGGGUUUCUUUAUGUACAAAGCUACAGAAUUCCCCUUGAAGACACUGGCCUUGACAUCCCUGAAAUAGCAAAAUAGACUUUUUUGUUUACUCCACGUGUAGUAUAUGACAGUGAGUGCAUUGUAGAUAGGGCCAUCUAUUGAAAUCUACAUGUGAUUAUACUCUAUCGAACAUCUACUUUAAAACAGCAAACAUGAGAGCCUACAAUUGACAUCUCACUGUUUAAAAAAAACAAUUUCACAUAUAUAUUCACAAACAUACUAAAGUGGUCAAUAUUCAAAGUAAAGACUCAGAUAUUCCUCACUUUGCACCAUGGUUUAGUUAAAUAAUACAAGUACCCCAACAACACAGUUUAAAUUUCAGUUACCAUGGUAUAUUGACUGUGAUAUUAAAUAAAGUACAAAUUUCACUGCUAGGUUUUCAGUAUGUAAAUUACUAUAUAACUAACAGAUGUGCAUCAUGAUCAAUUAUGAAUCACAUCACUUCUUUCACAGUCGUUGGUGACUGGUCACUUAUCAGCUAUUCAGCACAUGUGCAGAGAACAAACCAUGUGUUUGUGUUGCCUCUUUGUCUGCCAGUGAUAAACCCAAGUGACAUUUAACAAAAACAUAUAAUGAAAGAGGGAAUUGGCCAAUAAAAAUGAAAGCUCAAGAAAGAAACUAAAGUCACAAUGCUGGAAAUGAAAUUCAAAUCAAAGGUAAAUGAAGUUAUAGAGGAAACAGCUGACUGUGGGAAUGUUGACACUUUCACUGGUUGGAAAGGCUAUAUAGAUAUGAAGCCAGAGGAACUUAGUUAAAGCAGACAUUGACAUAAAUGAGGAAUUUGGUUGUGACAAGCAAUACCUAUUUUAGACCGAUGGCUUGUAUCCUCAUUAGGGACUGUCAGUAUACCAAAAGAAUGGGUGUUAAGUCUAGGAAAAUUAUAAUCAUCAUUAAGUUGACUUUUAGUUCCCAAGAUUUCCUAUAAUUACUGUUUUCAGUAUUUAGAUAUAACUGCUAAUGGUAAAAUGGCCUAUGAGUAGAAAAUAUGAAAUUUACAUUUCUCUUUAUCCAAAUUUCCUAGUGGAUCCCUGCCCCUAACAAUGUUUACCACUUCUUACUGUCCAUUUUCACAGAUAUGGGAGACAUGAUUACAUGCCCUCAACUCAUAUGUUUUCUAGGUAAGUCUACCACAGAAUAAAGCGGUACUCAAAUUACUCUCAGCUUGCUUAAUAUCCACUUUAGGACACUGAAAAACAAACACAAAGGGACUAAACAAGAUGAACAGUACGUAUCCCAUUUCUUUUAAGUCCACUAUCUUGAUAUCAUGAGGCCCCCUCACUGGUUUUAUGUAGAUGGGCUACUGGAAUGCAUAAGCUAGUGCCAAUUCUUAUUUUCCAAAGAUGUUAAAAGAUUAACAUAGGAUGGGAGGAGAGUGAGGAUCAAAAAAUCUACCUAUCAGGUACUAUGCUCACUACCAGUGUAAUUAAAUCAUUUGUACAUCAAAGCCCAUGACACACAAUUUACCCAUGGAAAUUUACCCAUUGGCUUUUGCUGCAAAAGUACCCCUUGAACCUAAAAUAAAAGUUGGAAGAAAAAAACUUAACAUAGCAAAUUCUUAGACAUCGUUCUGACUUGUUUGCAAGACCUAUGCUUUCUUCCUAAGCUGGUGCUGGAUAGUUCUUUUGACUUUUUUCAUUAUCGAUCUUCUCUCUCCCUAGCAUUGCCACCAAGGGAAACUAUUUCAUGUAAGACAUUCUUUUCCAUCCAGCCAUCUGGUUGGCCCUAAUUUCUCUGAGCACAUCUUUCCCACCUGUAUUGUGAACCAUAGAGCAGGCCUAAGGGAAGGUUAUAAAGAAGGUAAGGUUGGUCUGUAUUGUCUCAGUCUCUUUUAAUAUCUAUUCCCUUCUGUAUGGUACUCCUUCUUCUCAGAGACUCCUGUUCUCUAGCUUCUUCAUAAUCGGCUUUCAAAAUAGGAUCUGCUGUCAGCGAUUUAUCCCUUUAGUGCUAGGAUGGUAAAUAAAUUUUAUCUUGCAUGCCAACUCUAAAUUAUUAGUAGCAGCCACCUGAAAUGCUACGUGAAGGAUUCUGGGGAUGCAUCCAGUUGAAUUAGUUAUGAGAAGAAAAAUUGGCUACUAUAGGAAAGAGAAUCAACAAUUCAAUGGAUUAAACAAAAAGAGUGUUAAUUAUUUCUUACAUGACAGUAUCAAUGUAAAAAGUUCAAAUCAGAGAGGGAAUUCUGUUUCUUAGUCAUUCAGGGACUUGAUUUCCUUCCAAGUCAUUGUACUUUCAUCUCAUAGGGAAUCACUCCCAUCUGUAUACUGAAACUGGGUAGCCAUUACAUCUGAGUUGCAGCUGGUGGGAGAAAGUAUGGAAAGGAGAGCAUACCCUAUGUCUUAGGACCCAGGCAUGGAAAUGGCACACAUCACUUCUACUCACAUUUUAUUGAUCAUAACAAUCAUUUGGCUACACAGAACUGCAAAAGAAGCUGAGAAAUGUAGUCUAGCUGGGCAGCCACACAUCAAGCAAGAAUGGGAGAAUGUAUUUUGGUGGGCAACGAGCAUUUUUGUUCCUUACUAGGCUUAACAGGAAUCAAUGCUGUGAUUAAUUAAUGAAAUUUUCCAUGAGUUGGAAAAAAACUGUGGCAUCCACCCAUAUUAUGGUAUUAGCUGAUCUUGCCUUAAGUGUGAAAUAGAAGUCUUGUUUUCUUUCCUAGAGGGUUCUGAAGUUUAAAUAUAAUUCCAAAAAAUUUGACAGGCAUUUUCCACUAUGAGAAAGGUACUUUUGUUAGGUACAAAAAUAAACUUGUCCCUGCUUUAUCACUUAAUGUAGAAUCAAAGAUUCGUCUCCAGAUAACAGAAUUUCAGACAUCAGCUACCAAGGAGGGAAAAUAUAGGCUUGGGAAAGAAGGCCUUCUUGUAUGAAAUCACACCACACAGGCACUAGACAGCUCUACUUAUAUAAAGUUUAGCUCUAUAAAAAUGAGAUUGGGGUGUUUCAGAGAUUUUAUUAGGAAAUGUACAGAGAAAACAGUUGAUGGGGCAAAAGCUAUAAACACUAAGGUGAGAAGGAAUCAGAAUAUAGGCAAGAGUUAUAGAAGCAUCUAAAUGGCAUUUGUAUCUGUUUAAUCAGCCUAUCAGGUAAAUCUGCCCACUUUUCUCCCUACCAGUGAACAUCUGUUUUGAACCUCUAGGAUAUGGGACCUCUUGCUUGAUACCAGUCUUUCUGUGCCUACCUAUUCUAAAGCCUGAUGUCAUCUUCUGUGCCUUCCCUUAUAGGCUUACUUCCUUCAACGCUGACCAUUCCUCCAGCAUUUCUUAUUCUAAAGAUGAACAGGUAAGAAACUUCGUUGGAGGGAAAAUUAAGCAGGGAUUAGCAUUAGAGAGGGAGCUGUGCACAGUCCCUGUCUCAACAAAAAUAGCUUAAGAUGAGACAAGUACUUUACUUAGCAUAAUCUUGCUACUGAAGGGGCUAUUCUAAAUGUCCCCCCGCCCAACACCAUUAUGUAAACAUUCUCUAAUAUUCGGUACUUAAUUUAGAUAAUCCACCCUUCCUUCUGGCCAUUGCAUUCCUUAUCUAGCAAUGCAGGAAAAGGGCAAGAAAUCAAAGGGAAGGAAUAAAGGGACUUCUGAUUCCAGACUGUAUUUUGAAGGGAAGUCAUGGUUGGUUAGCGAUUUUCUUUAGCUUUUGCUUUGCGUUUGCAGAAUAGCUAAUAUUAUUGUUUUACCUAUGGGAACUGGUAUCCAAUCUAGUGCCUAAUGGGGCUGUUGUUACUAGAGCUAUUUUCUGUGAACCUCAUAGCAGACUCUCUUCUGCUGAAAAUGAGAUUUACUAUUCAUUCUGGGUUCUCUCAAAAGCCAGCCUGCCAUCUACAAUUAGCGGUCACAUCCAUUUGGCUAUAGUUCAGGUAAGUUCAAUUCUUCAUGUCCUGCUUCUCAGCUCUCUGCUGCUCAGAGCCAAAAACCUUAUCUUAGAACCCCAAAAUACAUGUCUAGUUGCUGUAUCAAAGACCAGGUAGCAGCCUUUACAGAAAGUCCCUUUUCUCAGAAUCUAGUUGAGCCAAUACUAUGCAGUGUCCACUAUAUUCUUCUUGGUUCAUUCUCUUUCUUUUGGAGGCAACAGCUUACUACGGUGAGGACAACUGGAAUCCAUCUCUACCUAUUCACCACUUUUUAAGUAGUAAAAGUGGUAGCUCAAAAGUAACUUUAUUCCCUGCUAAGUCUCGCUCUUUCCAAUUAUUAUUCAAACAUGAGAGGUGACAGUGAGAAGAUUGGUUUGGCAUUAUAGGAUGGUACCAUGCAAGGUACUCUAACAACCGGCCUUCUCUCUCAUGGUCUAUCUCCCUGCAGAUUCAGGUUGCAUCAGCUGUCCUCCUAUGUCCACAAUCCAAAUGCUAUGGGAUACUAUGGCAGACAAGUUUUCCAGUUCUUCAGGAAGUAGCAACUGUGAGUAUUCUAGCUCACAAUGGGAGGAGCACAACGACUGGACUCCAGCCAUGAGCAAAUACAAGUAAAGAUUUAACUGAGACUGUCUGCUCCCCAGUUCUCCAACCCCUGCCUACCCCAAGCCCCUUUUUGUCUUGAUUUAUAGUAGAAAAGUAAUAGUCGGUCGGGUGCGGGGGCUCACACCUGUAAUCCCACCACUUUGGAAGGCCGAGGCAGGUGGAUCACCCGAGGUCAGGAAUUCUAGACCAGCCUGGCCAACAUGGUGAAACCCCAUCUCUACUAAAAAUACAAGAAAAAAAUUAGCUGGGUGUGGUGGCAGGCUCCUGUAUUCCCAGCUACUCAGGGGGCCAAGGCAGGAGAAUCAUUUGAACCCAGGAGGCAGAGGUUGCAGUGAGCUGAGAUUGCGCCAUCACACUCCAGCCUGGGCAACAAGGGCGAGACGUCAUUUCAAAAAAAAAAGAAAAAGAAAAGUAAUAGUCACAAAAUGGAUAUAAAAAGAGAGGUAACAAUGGGAAACUACAGGGGGGCAAAUUAAUACUUUUAUAGUUUCAGCAGACCUGUAGUAAUAGAAGAAAAACUGAUUUUCACUUGGUUCAGACUAUCUCCCUGGGCUAGAAAGUAGAGGGCCAAGGUAGAGGAAUCGGAGGUAGAUGAAUUAUCUUCCUGUGUCUUCCUUUAAGUAGUUCACAUUGCUCCCAUUUAGGUACCAGUUAAUAGUCAUAAUUACUAUAAUCCCUCUCUUUGGAUAUUCUCUAAGACUUUAUUUCCUCGUGAGCAUAAAGACAUAAAAUAGUACACUGGAGGUUAGCUAUGAUUAGGAAGAGCCAUUCUAACUGUAAAUUACUCAUAAUCCAAGCUCUUUCCUGAUGAGCAUGUAUCCGUUAUAAAAGAGGCUAUGAUAAUAUACAGUGAGAAAAGAAUUUGUUUAGAAAUUAAGUUAAUUUGGAUCUAGGGUCACCUCAGCUAUUUUGCACUGCGACAUUGAUCAAGUUAUUUUCUCUGGGUUUCAGAUGCCUCAUCUUUAUUUUGUGCAUUUAGAUACACAAUUCUAAUUGGCCCAAUGGGAAUUACACAGCUAACACCAUCAUGCAGCAAAACAAAAUAAAAUACAGUGGAACUGAAGUGAGGGAGUAAAACCACCACACUAUGCAGAUGAGACUAUCUGCCUAGUAACAAGACAUUUCUUGGACUCUGGUACUUCAGCCAAAUGUUCUCUGGGAGUGGAGAGGCGGGGAGACAAUAUAGUCCACUGCCAGAAAGAACCCACAUCUGUUCCACCACUCUCAUUGUCAUUGCGUUUCCUGGGAUACUUUCAGAAUAAUUCAUUAGUAACAACAACAACAACAACAACAAAAAAAAAAACAGCAAGGAAAAGGCUACAAGGGGAAGGGUUUUUCUAGGUCUUUGGGAUAUAUCUAAUCAUUUCUUCAUGGAAUAUUAUAAAGUAGGGUCCACUCAAAGCUCAUCCCUCACAAGCCACUCAACCUUUGACAUUCUUCUUCUAUUUAAUAUGAGUCAGAAUUCCUAAGAUUUUUUGAAAUCCUGCCUGCAAAGUCUGCUUAUGAAUUUUUUUCCUUACCACGGAGUUCCCAUAAAGUGACAGGUUCUGCCUAAGUAGUUAGCUACCUGCAAGGCUGCUCGAAUCCAACUUUCUUUCCCACUCUACUUUGCAUUCUGCUCUCCCUUUGCUCUCCUCUCCUUAGGCCCUCAAGUGAUGCCAGCUUUUGUUCUAGCACUCUAGAAAGGAGUUACUAUUUUGAUCCAGAGUACACAGAGAAGAGAAACUGGAGUGGGUAAAAGGAAGCUCGUCACUGAGAAUGCUGGUACUGGGAGCAAGACUGUGGCAAACCCAGGAAAUACUAACAAUAAGAACCCCUCAAAAGUUCACCUUUACCAAGCCAAUGGAAACAAUAUAGCUGAGUGGGGUUUGAAUUUUGAGACCUAAUGACUCCUCAGCUACCAUGUAAUUGCCUUGGUGCUCCAUUUGCUAUAAUUCAUGGGAAAGGUACUAAGGUCCUUCAACUGGUUUUCCUUGCUACCUCCACCUUUUUCAGAAGUUGGACCUAUGAUUAGCACACUUCCUGUCUAUCCAUUCACAGUGAAUAGAAUGGCUGGCUAAAUUUUAGACCCCAUUUAAAUUAUUCCACUUCGAAAUUUGAAUGAUAGAUGCUUGCCUAAGUCUACUAGCCUCAGUAACAUUACCUUUUCUCAUGACCAAGGGUAAAAGAGUAAACUGAUAGGAGGCACAAGUUUUUGUGGAUGUGGGUUGGGCUGGCACCAAAUCCAACUACAAGCAUACAGUGACCACUUCAUACACACCACAUAAAAAAUACAAAAACUGAAAAAUACUAUCAAAUGCUUUGACAUUUUCUAAAUAUUUCUGCUGCCCCUAUAAAAUUGCCUUGUCUGACCUUUCCUCACUAACCAGGAGAAACGGUGUUUUUCAUUUCCUCUCCCUUCAAAUUUUACAAGAGAAUCAAGGAAUUUGAGGACCAAAGCACCACAAACACAAGAGUAAGCACAGCAAAUAUGACAAGGGGACUGAAGUAAGCCCCUAUGGGAAUAGGAUCUGCUGAAGGAAUCAAGAGGGAUGGACAGAGGAACAGAAGACACUCAAGAAUAACUUCAGGAAGUCUCCUUACCGCCUCACCUGCUUUCCCUCUGUCCUACACAUCCAGCCUUGCAAAGAAAUAAGAGUAAAGAGAAAAGUCCAUGUAGCACCAUCCCAGUUCAGAAGCAACCCCCAGGAUAUGGGUCAACUUUAUCACCUCAAACUCUACUCAUUUAUAAUGACAAAAUUCAACUGUUAACACAUAGAUAAGAGUUCUUCAGGCAUCGGUUUUAAAGGUCCAUGUACUGGGACGGGUGCGGCGGCUCACACCUGUAAUCCUACCACCUUGGGAGGCCAAGGCUGGUGGAUCACCUGAGGUCAGGAGUUCAAGACUAGCCUGGCCAACAUGGUGAAACCCAGUCUCUACUAAAAUACAAAAGUUAGCCGGGCAUGAUGGCGGGUGCCUGUAAUGCCAGCUGUUCUGGAGGCUGGGACGGGAGAAUCACUUGAACCUGGGAGACAGUGGCUGCAGUGAGCCGAGAUCACACCGCUGCACUCCAGCCUGGGUGGCUGAGCAAGACACUGUCUAAAAAAAAAAAAAAAAAAAAAAAAAAAAAAAAAAAAAAAAAAAAAAAAAAAGUUCAUAUACUGAAUAACCAUCUGGGCCCAUAACAGCUUAAGACUUUCUGGAGAAAAACAAAAAAAAAACAGUUUCCAGUUUAAUUUCCAACAAAGCAGUAGGAACUCUUGCCUAUAGAAUACUGUGCUGGGGGCUGGGCACGGUGGCUUAUGCCCAUAAUCCCAGCACUUUGGGAGGCCGAGGCGGGUGGAUCAUUUGAGGUCAGGAGUUAAGAGACUAGCCUGGCCAAAAUGGUGAAACCCUCUCUCUACUAAAUUAAAUACAAAAAUUAGCCUGCUGUCGUACUACACGCCUUUAAUCCCAGCUAUUCGGGAGGCUGAGGCACAAUUGCUUGAACCUGGGUGGCAGAGGUUGCAGUGAGCCGAUCACACCACUGCACUCCAGCCUGGAGACAAAGCGAGACUCCGUCUCAAAAAAAAAAAAAAAAAUACUGUGCUGGUUCAUUUGCCUAUAAAGUCACCAAUCUAAUGUUUGGGUAUUUGAUCAUUCAGAAUUCUAGAAACACUGAAGAUCCCUUCAUCUACUCAGGGUCUGGGCCUCUUUCAUGAAUGCUUAAUUCCCACAGCCUUACAGUUUAUACCCUUCUCCUCUCCCACUUUUGAUCCUCAACUUUUUUGCUUCUCACAUUUUUUACUGGGUUUGUGCUUCUCAGUAUCCUUGACCAAAGCAACUGAUGCUGUAAGAAAUGAGACUUCAAACCAUUUACCCACACUGGGUGAUUAAGGUAGUUUAAAAAAAGAAAUGAGGCCAGGCGCGGUGGCUCCCGCCUGUAAUCCCAGAACUUUGGGAGGCCGAGGCAGGUGGAUCACUUUAAGUCAGGAGUUCGUGACCAGCCUGGCCAACAUGGCAAAACCCCAUCUCUACUAAAAAUACAACCAUUAGCCAGGCGUGGUGGCUCGUGACUGUAAUCCCAGCUACUGGUGAGGCUGAGGUAGGAGAAUUGCUUGAACCCAGGAGGCAGAGGUUACAGUGAGCCAAGAUGGCACCACUGCACUCCAGCCUGGGCAACAAAGCGAGACUCCAUCUCCAAAAAAUAGAUUAAUUUAUUAAUUUAAAAAGAAAAAGAAAAAAGAAAUGAAGAACUUACGGUAAUUAGUGUGGUUAGGGACAGUGAGUUAGAAAUUGUCACAUCAAAAUACAAAGUUUUCAAAACAGUAUAUUUUAUUUUACAAUAGCAACCAACUCCCCAGUUUGUUUCAAUUGUGACAUCUAGAUGGCUUAAGAUUACUUUCUGGUGGUCACCCAUGCCGAACAAUAUUUUUCAAUCUUCCAAACAGCAAAGACUCAAAAGAGAUUCUGCAUUUCACAUCAGUUCACAAGUUCAAGAGUCUUCCAUUUAUCUUAGCUUUUGGAAUAAAUUAUCUUUGAUGUAGAAGGACAAUGACGAAGCCACUUAAUUCCUUGUGUCUGCAUAAAAGCAGAUUUAUUCAUCACAACUUCAUUUAUGUGAAUAAAGCAGAUGAUGAUAAAAUGUUCUCUUAUUCUUGUUUAAUCAGUAGUGGUAGUGAUGCCAGAAACUGUGAAAGGAAGGCUUUUAGUUACUUUCUUCUUUCCAUUUUCCAAUAAUCCAUUCCCCAUCCCCAGCUGAAGAAAGGGGUGUUACUGAGUCCAGCUGAUACCACACAUUGAAAGGUAAACAUUAAUAUUUCAAAUCUGAUGUCUAACUAAAAAUGUACAGAAUGAAAACUGGAAAAUUUCAACCCCAGAUUAUCUUCAAUCUUGCUCCCUCCACCAAUCAUACUUUGACAUUUAUCUAUUUCCUUCUCCACUUAUGGAUGUAAUUGGCUUGCUAUAGAAACUACAGUUUAGAUGCUUUGAAUGUAUGAACUACAAUAAACAAUAAAGUCCUCUUCUUUUGAAGCAUAUUUUGGCUUCAGCUUUAAGAUAAUCUUAUGACAAGAAGGGUCACACUGAUUCACUUAAUAAAUUCCAUUCUUACCUAACACAAGGGUUAGUUGAUAAGCACUUGGACAAAAAUAAUACUUUUCAAAAAUGUAAAGCAAACUAGUGAGGACAAAGGAUUUUGUCCUCAUCUCAACAAUGAUCAGCUAUUGGAACUGCAUGAAACUGAACAAUUUAAACCUGGAGCUGGUAAUGUUCUUAAGACCAAUUCAGAACAAAGGCCUUAAAACAGGUUUGACCUUUUCCUUCACUCUUCCUCCUGUCCCACCCUCUGUGAGUGAUUUAAAAAUGGAAAAGGUCAAAGCCCAGCCAGGCCUACAUUUAGAGAAAUUUUAAAAAAAUUUUUCCUUUCAAUUUUGGCCAAUUAUUUCCAAUUUUUAUUUUAUUCUUAAAACUUAAGCAUGGUAAAAUGUUAAGCUGUUUUCAUCCACUGAUAUUAUUCUACUAUAAAAAGCCCUUCUUGAGCAGAUUUGAUGAUAAAAAGGAGAACAUUUCUAAGGUAUAAUUAGAGAAGCUGUUGCAUGAGAAAUCAUGUCUCCAUCUCCAUUUUGCUAUGCGUUAUCUGAGGAUUGUUUCUGAAAGAGAUCUAUUUAGGCAGUGUAUGUAUGUGUCAGCAUGUAAAAAGUAAAGAACUGAAAAUAGACAAACCUUGUAAAUGCACUUCAAAACCAAUUGUGGCUCAAGUGUGGGUGGUUUCCCAAGGCUGGUACCAAUGAGACUGGGGUUUGGGAAUUAGUUGGUCAUCAUCCCUCCUGCUGCCCAGCAGUGGUCAGUCAUUUUUCAUGAGGGAUGGACUAGGAAAAUGAAGUGUCUAUUAUAAGGAGAGUUCCUGUAACUUAAGGAGCAAGCUCACUACAAAACCCAGCUACCUGCUUAUCGUAGUGGCCAGAGUGGUAGAAGAGAUACGGAGUAGGAAUUAAACCACACAAUGUUAUUUAGGGACUAAGCCAUGCCCCUAACAAGAAAACAAGCCAAAAGUAAAGUAUUAGGCAUUCUCUGGGAAGGCAUGCAUUUGUUUCCCAUGUCUCUGGGGCCAAAAACCUUAUACCAAGUACCUAUUGGCACCCGAAUAUAUUUGUAGAAUGAAUGAAUACAUGAAAAAAAAUAAACAGUAACCUUUCUCCUAUAUUCUACUUUCCAAGCCAAUUAAUAAGCAAGUGUCUUUUCGUCAUGAUUUUUUUUGUUUUCUGUUUAGGAUUUAACAAAAUGGUUGACAUAACAGUCACUUCUGUUUGAUGAAGAGUAUCACUUCAUUCCAUUUUUGUGUUUUUGUUGCAUCUCCAAGUCAGAAUAAAUGCCUUUUGGAGCAGAUAUAUUUCAUUUAGCAUUUAGUAUCAUCUUCAUCAAUAUUCGUAUGAACGAAAAAAUAAAAAGCCCUCUCUUAUUCCCACUCUACAACGCAUGUCAAAGGUGAUCUGUUCAGUUUUUCCUUAGUAUCGAACAUAUCACAGCUACUCAAUGAAGUUUCUUCUCAACUAAAGAAACACAGUCUCUUAGAGAAUUUGUUCCUGUGUCUCCACCAUAAGAUAAAUGAGAUAAAGUGCACUUUGGUUUACGUCUUUCAAGCACUUAAGAACAGCACUUUAUUCAGUUUUAAUAAAUUUUUACUAAAUUGGUAAAUGCAAAAGAAUCUUUUUUUUAUUGCUCAAAUGUCUUCCUGUCUCUAAGCCAGACCAAUGAGCAAAUACCUUUAAAGCUAGUUGUUACAUCUUGAACCAUUUAACUGUAAUAAAAGCAGAAUGUUUAGUUAAUGAAUUAAAGAACAAACCCUGAGCCCUUUGAUCAGUCUCCUGGCUUUAAACUAAGCCAAUGAGGAAGUGAUUUGGGGGAUUCCUGAAACUAGGAAAAAUGUCUCUUUAUUUUGAAAGAAACUUGCAUUUUUCUUUUUUUUUUUAAAUCUCAAAGGCAAUUGAGUGGGUCUUCUGGGCCAGACCUAUUUAAUUUACGAAACAUAGUACCUUGCAGAGAAUAGGCAUUGAAAUAUUAUUUAAACAAUCAACCAAAGAUGUUCUUCUAUCUUCAGCUGUCAGUGAUCUAAUGCCCUCAUCUCUCAUCCUCAGGACCCAGAAUGGUAUAUUCCACAUAAAAGAUGCUUUGUUUAUCAAAUGAAUCAAAAAGCACGCCUGAGGCAUUUAUUUUUACUCCUUUACUUCUGUAGGCCAGGUCAAGGUGGGUCUAAUUCACUUCUAUCAUCAGCACUUAAGAAACUGGAUGGAAGACCACAACACCUUGUUUUUUGCAAAAAAUUUCCAUCUCCUCAAUCAGGCCAGGAAGCAUGUAUCUUCUGGACAGGACUUUAUCUCUCUACUCAGCUUAGUACACUGCCUUAUAUUAGUCCAUUUGUCCCAUGUUUUCAUCACUGAAUAAACUUGUUAAAUGACUUUUGGUCUGAAUCUCACACCUAUAUUACUUCAUUUCCUUCUGUGAGCACUCUAUAAUGAUAACAUCAUUUUUAUAUCCUAGGGCAUGUAGUUCCGAGCCCCACAGAAAGUAAUCACCAUUCAGUAAGCCAAUAGUUCAUUCCUAUCUGUAUAGAACUGUAGGCUUUGUAAAUCUACACAUAGAUCUCUGUUGUAGGUUCAAUAAUGAUAAUAAAUGUUUGUGCCCCCAGUUGUUAUCUCUAAGGAUAAGAGUAAUCAAUGAUCAUUCAGCAGAUAUAGCUUAUAUAUGGGUGGCAGUUUACAAAUUACAAAUUGAUUUUACACAUAUUUUCUAAUGCUACCCAAGACACAAUAAAGAUGGUUUAUCUUUGCAUCCCCAAUGCCUAGCAAUGAGAUUGGCACACAAUAGAUAACUACUAUAGUGGCAUUCUUCAGACAACCAAUCCCUUGCAUAUGUGUAUUCAAAAGAUAAUCAUUGUUAUUCAAAUUUUCCUACUUUAUUUGCACAAUAUAAUAACUAUCAUACAAUUUUAUAAACCUAGUACCCAGCACCAAGUGAGAAAAUCAACAGUUACAUUUAUAUGGUGCCUUAGAGUUCACAAAAUGCUAACAUAGGUAUUGCCUUAUUUUUGGCUGUGGCUAAAUGAAAUAUGAUAAAUUUUCAGUGCCUUUAACAGUGAGUUCACAUAGUAGGCAAUCAAAAUUGAUCUAUUUAACAGGUAUUUAAACCCUUGGUUUGUAUAACUACUUAUAGAACCCUUCUCACUGUGGUUUAACUAUACAAUGAGAAUUUUGUAGAGACAAUACCUAGCUUACAGAAAGUUUUAUUCAUACAGAAAGCAUCGAAUUUUUCAUUUACAAGUGCUUUAUAAUUUAGAAAGCACAUUCGCAAGCUGAAUUAAGUGACUUUCGGUCUGGAUCUCACAUCUAUUACUUCAUUUCCUCAUACUAGCUCUUUCCUGGUUACCUGGAAAAAUGUAUCAGUAAUAAUUUAACUUAACCUCACCAGUAAAGUCUUGAUUGUUUAAAAUUAAGCAAUAUAUCAUUCCUUACAUCUGAAUAGUAUGGAGGAUAAACUUUCCUCUUAUUACAUAGGAGAAUUAAUCUUGUAUUUUACAGUACCCAAAAUAGCUGGUAUGUAAGAGGCACUUAAUAUUCAUUCAUCCAUUCAUUCAUUCAUAAAUAUGUAGCCCAUUGACAUUUGUAUCAUGCUUUAGUUUACAAAGCACUUUAAUAUGCACCUUUCUGAAAUUUUUUGUUCUAUGAGAAUACUUUUCCCCCUUUGGUAGCUCUAGCACCCAGCAUGGUAUCUGGCACAUUAUAGGUGACCACAACAAGCUUAGUCCCUUAUGUUUUCACUAUAUUUUAAAGUUUAAAAGCAGUUUCCAUGUGUUUUCAUUUCUGAUACCUGGAAUACUGCAUUUUUACUCAAAAUUACCAGAGCAGCAAACACAAAUUGGCCUCAAAUAUACAUAUAAUUUAUUCAUUUAUCAAACAAUUCCUUGUGUCUGCAUAGUACUAUAUCCUUUUGAAAGAGCACUUUUUUAUGCUUGCUCCUUUCUUUGUAUCCACAACGCUUAACACAGUAGAAUACAAGUGCUUUACAGUUUACAAAGCACAUUCACUAUUUUUUUUCAGGUCACCUAGAUAUCAAUAAUCAUUGCAUUUUUAGUGCCUAGCACAGGGACAGGCACAGAAAAGGAAACUAGUAGUAUUCAGAAAUUUUCUCUGAAUAACAAAUAAUACAUCAGGGGGUGGUAAGCUAUGAACAGCAGGCCAAAUCCAAUCGGCUCAAAAACUAAGAAUGAUUUUGACCUUAUAAAAACGUUGUUUAAAAAACAAAUAUGUAACAGAAACCAUAUGGCCCACAGUCUAAAGUAUUUAUGAUUUGACCCCUUACAGAAAAACUGUGGACCCCUGAUUUACAUAAUGCUUCACAAUUUACACUGCACUUUCAAAUGUUAACUGCAUGAUUGCCAAUACACUAAUUGGUUUUUCUCUUAUGUUUUACAGUGCUUUCAUACACAUUAUCAGUCAUUUAAAUCAACUUCCCACAUAAACAGGAAGAAAAAAAUCAAGGAAAGUAUUAAACAUGCUCAACAGUCCCAGGUUCUCUCAUCUUUAAGCCUAGAGAUGGGUAUUAAACCCAGGAGUAGGGUUGGCACAGUCCACCAAAUUAUUUGGCCACUACUAUGAGCAGGGAGUUCAGGCUGUCCCCUUGGGACCUCGCUUUGUCCCAGGCACAGUCACCCUUUCCAUAACCAUCACUAGAAAUCCCAAACCCCAGAAUCCUGCUCACCUAAGCUCAAAGAAGGAAGCUGUUGCUGGCAGGUGCUUCUCAGAAGUCUGGCACAUCUGUGUAUUUCUUGUCUAAUUCUUCUCAUUGGCCUGGAGCAUCUCUUCACAUUUUUCUCUAGAGAGCCUGGCACUUUUUUUCCCCCAACAACCUGACCAUUUUAUCUUCUCAGUCUAGGGCUUCUGGGGUCAAAAGAAAGGACUGAAAUACAGUAUCACCUAUAUGAAUGCCUGCUCCUGAGGGAAGUUAACAAAAGCCAGAUUAGAUACUGACUGGAUUUUGGUGUCUCUCUCAAGUGGAGAAGAUGUGAAUAGAAACAGAAGUUUACAAAACACUAUAGCCUAACAAAUAGGUAAAAGCUGUGAUUUAAAGCUGGCUCAAGACUGGCCCAGGCAUAAUACUGUCAAUCUAAAGGUAACCGGCAACAUCAAAAAGUACAUCUCAAAAGAAUCAGGCUUAAAGAUAAACAGGAGAACUGGAAAUAUCUAAGAGUAAGAAGUGUAAACAAUAGAAAAGAGGUAGGGUUUAGGGUUCUCAUCUUGGGAUUUCCCCAGGUCUUCAAGCUUCUAUCCUUCCUGGGUUCUGGGUCAUGGGCCUCCAGAUUCCAGCCUUUAGUCUUGAGAUACCUUUUUCGCUUGGGUCCUCUAUCCAUCUAGGUAGGCUUUGUGACAGGGGCCUUCCAUCCUUGGGUUGUAGGUCUUCCAGCUACAACCCUGGGCUAAUCUUAGAUCGUUGGCCUUGUGUCACAAGUCUCAGUUCUUAGGCCUUCCAUGUGUCCUGUCCCAGGUCUUAAGACUUCUAACUCAAGCCUUGAGACUUCCAUCCAACUCAGGCCUUCGGUCCAAUUCAGGCCACCCUCUGUUUUCUUGGCUCUUGAGGCUUUUGUUGGUUUCAGGCCUGAGGCUUCUAUCUAUCUUGGAACAUGGGCUUUCCAUCUUAGUCCUCGGGUCUCAAGUCUCAAACCAUCUGUCUUAUACUUUGGGCCUUCUAUCCAUAUGAGCCUUCCACCUUCUGCCCUACUUGAGUUUUGGGUUUUACUGCAGCCUAGGGCCUUGUUUUGGUCUUGGAUCAUCUCACAUGGCAGCCUGGCAUAAGGAACCGCUCCACAAUGCUUGCUCUGAUAGCCGACGUUCUGCACCUAUCAGGCAGGGGUUAGGAAGCCCCUCUGCCACACAUGACACACACACACGUACACUUGCCCACAUAUGCAAAGAAAUAUUUAAGGAGAGAUUACAUGAAAUCAAAGAGAGGGAGAUAGAUUCAUGAAGAGGCUGAAAUACUCAAAGGUGAGUAGAAAGGGAAGAAGCAGAGAACAAAUACAAGCCAACAGAGAUUAAUACUGAAAUAGAAAAUCACAAACAGCAAGAGAUGCUGAGGCACGCAGGGGAGGAGAGAGAGAAUAGCCCAAGAGAGGCAGAAAGGAAAUGCAGAAAUGAGAAAUGUGAGAUAAAAAGUAGAAACAGCAGAAAGGAGGCCAGACUCAGAAAAAAGGUGAAAUUUAAAACGAACGAGAAGGGGAAGGGGUAACAAAUAAUCACAGUUCACAAAGAGAAAAGAGAGGUAGGCAGAGAAAGGAGAGGUAGACAGAACAAGAAAAGGACAAAAAGCACACAGCAUGUGACCCAAAAAGGAGACAUGAAAUAAAGCGUGAAAGAAGAGCCACAUCUAGGAGAGCAAAGAGAAAUAGCAACAAAAUGAAAAAUGAGAGAUAUGUCUAAGACAAGACACAGACCACUCUUGUGAACAAAAAGAGAAAAUGAGGCAAAGGCACACACGAAAGAAAUUAGCAAGAGAAACAUGGAAAUGGGUAAGACACACUUUAGAUAGAGAACAAAGAGCAAAGACAAGAAAGAAAGAGACAAAGAAAUACACACUUGAGUGCAAGAGAUAAGCAAAGGCAGACAUUCAGAGGAAGUAAGUAGCAGAAGAGGCAAGAUACAGUGAGGGGCACAAGAGGCAUGAAAAGCAUCACAGAAAGAUAAAAAAAAUCAAAAAGUGUCAUUAGUAAUUAUAAUAAACUAUUGUUACUACGAAUACUACUUAUAGUACUACAAUAAUAACAACCACCAACACCAACACAGAUGCUCUUCUAUUUAUAAACUUUUACCUUAGGGAUUUCUUACAUAGAACCAAAGCAUGCCAACUCUGCCUGCUACCUGAUAGUGCUAGGGGUCACUUAUAUUGUGGGAAAUUAACUUAUGAGUCUUCUUGGGUUACCUUUUACUUGACAUGUGCCAGGCACUGCAAUAGGUGAGCACUUUACAUACAUGAUUUCAUUUAACCCUCACAAACAGACAAGUCUAGAGACUUUAAGUUGUCAAAGGUCAUAUACCUAAUGAGUAGCAGAGGAUUUAAAACACACAAUGUAUGCCUCUUAACAUCCUGUUACAACUAUUUACUAGGAUUUCUGGAAGAGCCAAAUGGGAUGUCACAGAUGACUAAGUAUUUUCAUAAAAGGCUCUUUGAUAGGACUUGCUCAAUCCCCUCCUUUAGCAUCACCUUUCCCCAACUCUUUAGAAAACUGACUUCAUUCUCACACUUUUAUAAUGGCUACUUCAGAGUUUAGUUUUCUUUUUACACUAAUCUUAACUGAUGACAGAGUCUCUCACAAAUGGAGAAGAGAAAGGGUUACCCUUUCAGCAGAAAGCAGAAAUGGUGUUUUAAGCUUCUCAACGUUUAAGGCUCUAAGAAUGACAGAGGGCCUAUACAGUGAAGACAUAGAACACACAAGCAAAGGCUAAAUUCUUCUGUGAUACAACUGGUAAGAAGACCAUAAUGUCUUUGAGUUGCUUCAGUGAACCCAGUCAGUAAUAUGGAAGACUGGUCAUCUUUCCAUCUCACAUUUAGCCCCACUUCACAUUAGACCAACACACCCCAUCCAACACCAGCUCCCAAAAAACAGCUGUUAUAACAGUUCUGAAGUGAUCCUCACAGGACUGCAACAUCAACAACUUACUUCAUUCAGCUAUCCUCAAGUGCUAGAGUGCCAGGCAUGUUGAUCUUCAGGUGGGAAGGCUGACUUCCUUCAGUGUGUUCAAAUUUCUUGGACCUGCUGAAGACUCAGCUCUCUGCACUGCUUGUAGGAAGUAUAAUGAUUUGGCAGGUAGGAACAAUGAAGAG
rnacentral:lncRNA from 1 species